rnacentral:rRNA from 1 species
UAUUGGUCAAUGGGCGUAAGCCUGAACCAGCCAAGUCGCGUGAGGGAUGAAGGUUCUAUGGAUCGUAAACCUCUUUUAUAAGGGAAUAAAGUGCGGGACGUGUCCUGUUUUGUAUGUACCUUUUGGAUAAGGCUCGGCUAACUCCGUUCCAGCAGCCGCGGUAAUACGGAGGAUCCGCGCGUUAUCGGGAUUUAUUGGGUUAAAAGGGUGCGUAGGCGGCCUUUUAAGUCAGCGGUGAAAGUCUGUGGCUCAACCAUAGAAUUGCCGUUGAAGCUGGGGGGCUUGAGUAUGUUAGAGGCAGGCGGAAUGCGUGGUGUAGCGGUGAAAUGCUUAGAUAUCACGCAGAACCCCGAUUGCGAAGGCAGCCUGCCAAGCCAUGACUGACGCUGAUGCACGAAAGCGUGGGGAGCAAACAGG